UACGAGGGGUGCAAGCGUUGUUCGGAAUCAUUGGGCGUAAAGGGUGCGUAGACGGUUUGUUAAGUCUGUUGUUUAAUACCCUAGCCUAACUGGGGAAAUGCAAUAGAAACUGGCAUACUAGAGGGUGAGAGAGAGAAGUGGAAUUCCUGGAGUAGCGGUCAAAUGCGUAGAUCUCAGGAGGAACACCGAUGGCGAAGGCAGCUUCUUGGCUCAUACCUGACGUUGAUGCACGAAAGCGUGGGGAGCAAACAGG
rnacentral:rRNA from 1 species